CACUUUCUUAAUAAUUUUAAUUAAACCUGAUUCUUUCUUCUUUCUUCCUCUCUGCCAUCUCACUCCGGCGUCGAUCCCGAAUAGCGAACCAGCUUCCGUCGCCGUCUAGAUUCUGUCGUCGUCCAGGUCGUCGUCGCCGUCCCGAUUCAGCGAACCGCGCGCCUCUUUCUGUCCAGUCCAGAUUCUUUCUUCUUUCUGUUCCAUCGAUCGCCCGCCUCUUUCUGUCCAGAUCUACGGCUGUGUUUGUUUCUUUGCUAGUGUUUUAGAGAGCCGCUGCCGCCUUUGUGAUAAGAGGUUCAAAUCACUUGACUGCUGGAUUUACUUUCCCCGAUCCAGAUCGAUUUCUCGUCAGCUUCCCGAUUCCAGUUUGGUGUUAAGAAAUCUGAUCGACGUUGAAAAUGAAAGUUGCGUACUGAAUUACAAGAGGAGACUUUGAAAAGAGAACAACUGGAGACUUUAAUUCUUGAGUCAGAAAGAGAAUCACAUGAGACUAAAAGAGAAGCACAAGAGGCGCAAAGACAAAUGCAAAUUGAAACUGAAAGGCAAGCUCUUGAGUCACAAUGACAAGGGGAAGAAAUGCAAUUUGAAAUUGAAAGACAAGCUCUUGAGUCACAAAGACAAAGGGUAUAUGAUGUUUUUUUUGGGUUAAUUGGUAUUUUAGUUUAUUAGAUAUUAUAAUGUUGAAUGAAUUGAAGAUUAAAGUUUAUUGGAUAAUUGUAUUUUUGGAUUAUUGGUAUUUUUUUAUAUCAAAUUCAGUAUUUAUAAUUUGUGUAUGUAUCAAGUCUGAAAUUGUUUGGU